UACGGGAGGCAGCAGUGGGGAAUAUUGCACAAUGGGCGCAAGCCUGAUGCAGCCAUGCCGCGUGUAUGAAAAAGGCCUUCGGGUUGUAAAGUACUUUCAGUCGUGAGGAAGGUGUUAAGGUUAAUAACCUUAGCAAUUGACGUUAGCGACAGAAGAAGCACCGGCUAACUCCGUGCCAGCAGCCGCGGUAAUACGGAGGGUGCGAGCGUUAAUCAGAAUUACUGGGCGUAAAGGGCACGCAGGCGGUUAAUUAAGUUGGAUGUGAAAUCCCCGGGCUUAACCUGGGAAUGGCAUUCAAGACUGGUUAGCUAGAGUCUUGUAGAGGGGGUAGAAUUCCAUGUGUAGCGGUGAAAUGCGUAGAGAUGUGGAGGAAUACCGGUGGCGAAGGCGGCCCCUGGACAAAGACUGACGCUCAUGUGCGAAAGCGUGGGGAGCGAAAC
rnacentral:rRNA from 1 species